CACUCCUGCGGGAGGCAGCAGUGGGGAAUAUUGGACAAUGGGCGCAAGCCUGAUCCAGCCAUGCCGCGUGAGUGAUGAAGGCCCUAGGGUUGUAAAGCUCUUUCACCGGUGAAGAUAAUGACGGUAACCGGAGAAGAAGCCCCGGCUAACUUCGUGCCAGCAGCCGCGGUAAUACGAAGGGGGCUAGCGUUGUUCGGAUUUACUGGGCGUAAAGCGCACGUAGGCGGACUAUUAAGUCAGGGGUGAAAUCCCGGGGCUCAACCCCGGAACUGCCUUUGAUACUGGUAGUCUUGAGUUCGAGAGAGGUGAGUGGAAUUCCGAGUGUAGAGGUGAAAUUCGUAGAUAUUCGGAGGAACACCAGUGGCGAAGGCGGCUCACUGGCUCGAUACUGACGCUGAGGUGCGAAAGCGUGGGGAGCAAACAGGAUUAGAAACCCCAGUAGUCC
rnacentral:rRNA from 1 species